CAAUAGCGUAUAUUAAAGUUGUUGCGGUUAAAAAGCUCGUAGUUGGAUUUCUGCUGAGAACGACCGGUCCGCCCUUUGGGUGUGUAUCUGGCUCUUUCUGGGCAUCUUCUUGGUGAACGUUGCUGCACUUGACUGUGUGGAGCGCUACCCAGGACUUUUACUUUGAGGAAAUUAGAGUGUUUCAAGCAGGCAUACGCCUUGAAUACAUUAGCAUGGAAUAAUAAGAUAGGACCUCGGUUCUAUUUUGUUGGUUUCUAGAGCUGAGGUAAUGAUUAAUAGGGAUAGUUGGGGGCAUUCGUAUUUAACCGUCAGAGGUGAAAUUCUUGGAUUUGUUAAAGACGGACUACUGCGAAAGCAUUUGCCAAGGAUGUUUUCAUUGA
rnacentral:rRNA from 1 species